GGCCACAUCACGUUGAAACACCGGCUCUUGUACGAUCACCGAAGUUAAGCAACGUCGAGCCUGGUCAGUACCUAGAUAGGUGACCGUUUGGGAAUACCAAAUGCUGUAAG